UGAUGCAUGUCACCACUUGAAUCAACAAGUGUCACUUCUGUUAUCAGCAAAACCUAUUGCUCCAAGGUCCUGCUUCACAGAAAGAGAAAGGGUCAAGGCCACAGCUUCUAGAUGAGACAUCUCAAGCCCAGGAACUAAAUGAGCCGCUGAGAGUCAACUCGUGAAAGACACCCCCCCUUCUGGAGCACAACAACCACAUUGGUUGGAUUCCUUCAGCAUUAACUGCAAAGAUAACUUAGGGCCAAAGUAUGGGGCAGGGGAAGAUGCUCACUACACUAG
rnacentral:lncRNA from 1 species